GAUGAACGCUGGCGGCGUGCCUAAUACAUGCAAGUCGAGCGAACAGACGAGGAGCUUGCUCCUCUGACGUUAGCGGCGGACGGGUGAGUAACACGUGUAUAACCUACCUAUAAGACUGGGAUAACUUCGGGAAACCGGAGCUAAUACCGGAUAAUAUAUUGAACCGCAUGGUUCAAUAGUGAAAGACGGUUUUGGUGUCACUUAUAGAUGGAUCCGCGCCGCAUUAGCUAGUUGGUAAGGUAACGGCUUACCAAGGCAACGAUGCGUAGCCGACCUGAGAGGGUGAUCGGCCACCCUGGAACUGAGACACGGUCAAGACUCCUACGGGAGGCAGCAGUAGGGAAUCUUCGGCAAUGGGCGAAAGCAUGACGGAGCAACGCGGCGUGAGUGAUGAAGGUCUUCGGAUCGUAAAACUCUGUUAUUAGGGAAGAACAAAUGUGUAAGUAAAUAUGCACGUAUUGACGGUACCUAAUCAGAAAGCCACGGCUAACUACGUG
rnacentral:rRNA from 1 species